CCCCCCAGGACACAAGUGCCUUCAUAACAUACUCUGAGGGACGUCUCCACCUGUUGGAGCCUCAUGUAGCCCAACUCCAGCCUGUUGAUAAUGAAGAUGAAGACACUGUGUCUACUGUCACAGAAAGGCCUACAGAGCAUGAAGAGGGUCCAUCAAAUCCUGCAGCACAAAUGGACACA